rnacentral:misc_RNA from 1 species
CAACCCCUAAGCACAGCUUACUGUUGGGACUCUACGGCCUCCGUAGUUCCCCAAAGCCAUUGGCGGAGUGGCAGUAGUCCUCUGAGCGUAGUAAUUCUUUAUCUCGCUUUUGUUAGGUGCUGCCCCCCCGGCCGUUAAACCCCCCAAUUUUUUCUGG